AUUUAGAUAGUUUAAUAAAAAUAUAAGAUUGUGGAGCUUAAGAUGUAUUACUACUCUAAAUA
rnacentral:tRNA from 1 species